ensembl:processed_transcript
GCGGAAAAAAAGGUGCACGUCAGAUACAGAGAGCGCGGUGUGAAGCAGUUACAGACAGGGGGAAAGAAAGUUGAUACAACUGUUUAAGAGAGAAAGUUUGCAGUUUUGUGUUAACUUGGGAGCAGGUAGCAGAUGCAGGUGGUGUGAGUUUGUUUAUCUGCUGGCUUAAUUUGCUGCUCAGCCGAUCAUUGUUCCUGCAUGUGAGAAAUCUCGUUGAGGAAGGAGAAUUCAGAGCACGCUAGUGGAGAUUGAGCAGGGGAGAAGAGCAGUACACAAGAUCACACAGGUGCUAACUGCUAAUCGCACGUGUGCUUCAGAGAAUCAGAACGAGCACAGAUAAGCCACUGCCGUUGUUUUGCACAUAUUAAAUAGUUUAUUAACGUGGUUUUGAACUACUUUAAGUCACAUGAGGAUUUUGAAUUGGAUGUUUUGAAUACUGUCAACAAAUUUAUUCUUAUAGUUAUAUAUACAUUUAUUUUUCCUGUUGCUGACCUUUUUUAUUUUGCCAUAAAGCC